CUUUAGGACUAGUUUUUAAAAUGCCUCAAGAAACUUACUUGUAACAUGGAGUCACCUGACAUAGAUUAACCACAUAGGUUAAAAUGAAAUAAUGGAUUAAAAAAUAUGUAUUAGAAGAAUCAGCUAACAAAACUUUUUUUUAACCAUUUCACUCUUCUGUACAAUAUGAGCAUGAAUAAGCCAGAUAGUAUUAAGUUUAGCAUAUUUAUAGCAACCCUAAAUUCUUUUUUGCAGAUGAUUCCUACGGAAGACAGAAGUCUUUAUAACUGCACAUAACUCUAUUUGCUCAAUAUAUAACAUGCUGUCAAAAAAAAGUAAGCAGGGAACAAUUCCACAGUAUAUUAAAAUUAAUCAAAUAUGAAAUGUCUUACAAAUUACAUUAUUAUUACCUUCCAAGUAUAGAUGACAUUAACAAUGCAGAGCUGUUACUUCAUCAAGAUUUGCUUUUGUUCCCAGAAAUGAUUCCACAUCAAAAAAACCAAAUGUGAAUAAAAUCUAUAGGAUAGCAUAAAGUAUCAUAAAGACAUGCAUGAUCAGAAAGAGAGGUAGCCUGGUUUAAUAUUGUGAAUAAAACAAAACAGAUAGCCCAAGUCUACAUUAGUUCUCCCAAGCACCAAUAUUAAAAGAACUAGAGGAAUACAGCUAUACCAUUAUCGGGUGGCUUCUCUGAAAGAUUUAUGGAAUGACAUCAACAAUUGCAUAGGAUGAGAAAAACAUGCAAGUCAAGUGAUAUAUCCUAGUGGAGCAAAUUAUUCAACUCAAUGAAUCAUAAAUCCAUCCAAAUGUCAAGAAAACUGUUUAAGAAAAAAAAAGUCUUAAUAUUUUUCCUGUCCCCCCCCAGUGAAGAAAAAAAAUCUUAAUUUUCAAUAUUUCAAAUCUUUAUCCAUAAACAGGACCCCAAACUUAAAACUACCAGUAGACAACAAAUCACAUCUUAAGACAUUUUCUUCCCUAACACAGAUUCACUUUAGCACAGGGGCUACCAAAAAGCAACAGCAAAAUGAGUUCAAAGAAAUUUGCAACAUAAAUGUCAGUUGACAGGCACCAACAAGUUUCUGUAUCCAAGCUGAAAAAUUAUAACAUAGUUACAGAAUUUCAAUUUUUUCACAUGGUCAAAUAGUUGGAUAAUACUGUUAUAAAAUACAACAAAAGCACCCUAGUGUUUCUUCAAGAAGUGCAUCAUUUUAUAUAAUUUUUCUUUAACUGUGGAUUCUUUAAAUGAGAAAGAUUUUCUUCUUAAUUUUUUCCUCAAUCCUUCUUUAGUCGUUUGGCUUUUGCAAUAUUUUCUUGACGUCUCUGUUUCUUCUUCUGCUCCUUUUCCCUGGCCUCAAUCAUUUUUGCCAGUUUCCAAGACAGUACUGCACUUGCUAGAAAAAGUGGAGUCAGAGCCAAAAUCACUGUGGUAAGAAAGCCAUAUGGAUCCUUUGCAGCCCACUCCACAACAUACUCAGCCCAAGCUUUUACAUCAAUC
rnacentral:lncRNA from 1 species